rnacentral:rRNA from 1 species
UUCUGCCCUAUGAUUAAUUAUUAAUGGCUGCAGUAUUUUGACUGUGCAAAGGUAGCAUAAUAAUUAGUCAUUUAAUUGUUGACUUGUAUGAAUGGAUACAUGAAAGAUUUAUUUUUUUAAAUUUAUUAUUAAAAUUUAAUAUUUAAGUAAAAAAGCUUUAAUUGUUUUUUUGGGACGAUAAGACCCUAUAGAACUUUAUUAUAUUAACAAUAUAUAUUUUUUAGUCUUUGAUGUCUAUUAAUUUUUUUUAUUUUUUUGGUGGGGGGACAAAUAAAUAUUUAACUUUAUUUUUUUUUUUCAUUAAUUUUUGAUUUUUAUUGACCCUAUUUUUAAAUGGAAAAAUUUAGUUACCUUAGGGAUAACAGCGAAAUUUUAAGGGGGAGUUCAUAUUUAUAUUAAAGUUGGCGACCUCGAUGUUAAAUUAAAAAAAGUUUGAGGGGUAA